GCCAGGCUCGGUGGUGCAUGCCUAUAGUCCUAGCUACUUGGGAGGCUGAGGCAGGAGGAUCACUUGAGUCCAGGAAUUCUGGGCUGCAGUGCGCUAUGCCGAUCGGGUGUCCGCACUAAAUUCAGCAUCAAUAUGGUGACCUCCUGGGAGCCAGGGACCACCAUGUUGCCUAAGGAGUGGUGAACUGGACUAGGUCAGAACUCAUGUGCUGAUCAAAACCAAAAAGUUGUACAUGGUAAAAAUUACUGUAAAUAAAGUAAAAAAAAAAAAAAAACUGAGGAAAAUAUUUGCAACUUGCA
rnacentral:sRNA from 1 species